rnacentral:lncRNA from 1 species
CCCCUCCAACAUCCAACUCAACUUUCAUUCAGUCUGUCCUACGGGGAAGCACCUAGCGAUGAUGUGUUCAAGCUAAAUGUGAAUCUUGUUUGUCGAUCAAUCGAGUGGAGAUGAGCUUGCGGUGUGAUUGCGUGUGACUCAGAAGGCGUGGUGCAAGCUGGUUGUGCCCGUCUUGUGUCCCAUGCCUUCGACCCUCUCUUUGCCUACAGAUCUUGUUUUCCAUCCGCUUAUUAUCAAGGACGAGUGUUAUGCUUUUAUUUCUAGGCUUAAUAGCUAAGCUUUGGACUUGUCUUUGUAUGGCCAAAUUUUAAGGAAAGUCAUGAAUUUUGUGUUGGUUUUGAUUUUUUUUUUCAUUAUAUUUCUAGAUCAAUCAAUGAAGUUGCUCGCAAUCUCGUCCAUUGACUCUUUGAAUUUUGGUUUGAAUUAAUCAAAAAUCAUUCAUCAUAUAGCUGGAUGAUGCUAUUGCUACUUAAUUUACUUUUUAUAUAUACUAAGCAUAAAAAAAACUACAUGAAUUUACUUCUAAAAUACAAUCC